AAGGCGUCAAUUUUUACAAAGCUCAUUGUUCUGAAAAGAGAUGUGUACGCUGAUUGGCCAGCUAUCCAGUGUGUUGUGAUUGGCCAAAUGCCUCAAGCGUGUGACGGAAAUGUUAUGCCACCCCUUACCACACUGUGAUUCCCGGCUCGAUGAGACAAAACCAAUAAAACCCAUUACAAAUGAGGUAUUUGUUGCAUCCAGUGGGGACAUAAUUAUUGAUUAUAAUGACUUAUACUGUUUUUUUUAAGGCGUUGCAUAUCACGCUGCAUAGACAUAAAACCAUGUCUGCAUUUGUGAUCGGAAAAAUGACAAAAAAGCUCUACUCUACACUGCUUAAAGCUCGCAUUUGAAUCCUCAGUGGCAAAUUCUUUAAAUAUGAAAAACGUACUUACAGGCUGUGAGUCAGAAGCGCCAGACUGUCCUUGCCAAGGUGGAACUGUCCCACUUUAUAGAAACAGCCUUUGUGUGUAGACGGUAUUGUAUGCUACUUUUCAAGGUUCAGGAAACAGUCCUCCAUAAAAUGCACUGCAUACAUCUGAAUAUUUGGGUUGAACUGUUCUGGAACAGUGUUGUAAAUACAACUUGACCACUGAUUUCUAGUUGUGUCCUCUUUUGGAAGACCAAACAAAGUAGUUUUGCUUUCACAACGAAACACACAGCGUCACACAAGCAGGGUUUGAGAAAGGCACGGCUAGUGGGCUUGCGGCAACCACAUGAGAUGACCCCGGUCUGGACUCCGCUUCGUCCAUGGUGGAAGCCAAUCCGUUAUUUUUCGUAAUAAGUAGUUUUUAAAAGUAAAAAGUAAAGAGUUUUUCACAGGGGAGUAGCCUAUAAGCAGUAAAUCUGCACAGAAUCAUUCACAUCAGUUAAUACCUCUAGCAGAUACCUGGCGAUCAGGUAAAAUUGAAACACUACUGACAUCUUUGCCAUUAUAUGAUAUAAUGUUGACAUAUUGUUUGUAUUGUAGGGUAUGGAGGUUUGGGUGCAGCUGGAGGCACGGGAGGUGUUGGAAGCCCACUAGGAACCGCUGGAGGUUAUGAUGGCACUGCUGCAGGGGGACCUGGAAGUGCUCCACUUACACCUCAGCAAUCAAAAGCAGCUAAAUAUGCAGCUCUUCAAAGGUUUCUAGGUGCAGGAGGCUACAGAGGGGGCGCAGGAUGCCAAGGCAAAUAUUGCGCAAGGAGGAGGAAGUGAGAAACCAGCUGAUAAAAGUCACCUGAUAAACAAGUGGUGCUACUGCCUGAUCUCAAAUGCAUUUUUUACAGUUUAAAAGUGCCUCAUGUAAUAUGUGAGAAAUUUGGACUUACACUAAAGAAUUUUUCAGUCGUAUGAUUAGAUGUGAUGUGAACCUCACUUAAGGCAAUCUUUGCACUGCCUAUACUCCCUUUACUUUACUUGUCACUAUACAUUUUCUAAAAGUGUCACAUUUUUUAAAAACCUUUUAUUUUUCAUCCAUUUUACCAUUUAAUGUUCCAUCUUAAAAUUCUGCAGUUCCAGAUGUGCAUCUCUUAUGGUUUUGUUGCAGUAGCUCACUGACCCUUAGCUGUGUGUGUAGACACAUGCAAUCUAGGAAUGUGUUGCUGCUAUUUCAGGAUGAACUGUGACCGUGGGGGAAGCAGUGUCAUUAGGCUUCAUGUUCUGGCCACCUAUCGUAAAGGGAGCCUAUUUUCUUUUUAGCUAUAUGCAUAUGAGUUCAUGAAUCCAUAUUUUGUCUUUUCCAGCAUAUUCAGCCAUUCAAAGUGUAGUCACACAAAGGAACGGGAUCUAGGCUUACCAAUUUUAGUCUUAUAAGAACAAAAUGCUUGUUGUAACUGCAGUAGAAAGCAUCUGAGUAUACUGAGGAUUAUAAACUGUCUUCAAAGAUACCUCAGGAACUUGAAGCAGUUUCUUUUCUAGUUUCCUGACCCUAGUAAAACCUUGUUUUUGUUUGUUUGUUUGUUUUAA